UACGAAGGGUGCAAGCGUUACUCGGAAUUACUGGGCGUAAAGCGUGCGUAGGUGGUUCGUUAAGUCUGAUGUGAAAGCCCUGGGCUCAACCUGGGAACUGCAUUGGAUACUGGCGAUCUGGAGUGCGGUAGAGGGUGGCGGAAUUCCCGGUGUAGCAGUGAAAUGCGUAGAUAUCGGGAGGAACAUCCGUGGCGAAGGCGGCCACCUGGACCAGCACUGACACUGAGGCACGAAAGCGUGGGGAGCAAACAGGG
rnacentral:rRNA from 1 species